GGGUGCAUGGUCUAGUGGUAUGAUUUUCGCUUCGCAUUAGAUUCUCUACAUGCCCUGUGAAAGGUCCCCGGUUCAAUCCCGGGUGCAUCCA